AAGAUUUAAAGAUAAGCAAACUCUUGUAUACACCCAGGGAGUUACCAUCCAAAUCAAGAUGUAGAGCAUUCCCAUCUUCUUCAAAAAACAUUUCUCUAACAGACCUGCAG